AACGAACGCUGGUGGCAUGCCUAAUACAUGCAAGUCGAACGAGAAAGCACUUCGGUGUGAGUACAGUGGCGCACGGGUGAGUAACGCGUAGGUGAUAUGCCUUUUAGUGGGGGACAACAGUUGGAAACGACUGCUAAUACCGCAUAAGCUGUUUAGAUUAAAAUAUAACAGGAAAGGGGGCUUCGGCUCUCGCUGAAAGAUUGGCCUGCGUGACAUUAGCUUGAUGGUGGGGUAAUGGCCUACCAUGGCUACGAUGUCUAACUGGUCUGAGAGGAUGAUCAGUCACACUGGAACUGAGACACGGUCCAGACUCCUACGGGAGGCAGCAGUAGGGAAUAUUGCACAAUGGAGGAAACUCUGAUGCAGCAAUGCCACGUGAGUGAGGAAGGCCUUCGGGUUGUAAAGCUCUGUCCUAUAGGAAGAACGGCUUUAUGGUUAAUACCCAUAUUGUUUGACGGUACUAUAGAAGAAAGCACCGGCUAACUCCG
rnacentral:rRNA from 1 species